ACCACGAGUCACCAACCUGUCCAGGACUACCUGACAUGAUUAACUGCCCAAAACAACAAGAGGCUGGACAGGAGAAGAAAGGACGAGAGACUAAACCUGAGCAAUAGAGAGACCGAAAGGAGAGGAGAAGAGAGGUUACAGACUCACAACCAUGAUCCUUUCCAAUCACUCUUUUCAUUCAUUUUUCUGCUGCUGCUGUUCUGUAGAAUCCAGAGAGAUCAGCACCCAUGUCAGCCUGGAUAGUGGAUCUGGAUCUCUGUGUUUUCACACUAGGAGGCACCCGGGACAUGCUAACAGGACGGAUCGGUCCAGGAGGAAGCUGCCUCCCC